rnacentral:lncRNA from 1 species
CUUGCAGUGUGCUGGAUGUGCUGGGGGAUCCCUGAGUCCAGCUGCAGUGGAGUGAGAGAAGGCUAUCCCCAUGGUUAAAUUCGUGGGAGAAGGAGAGUGAACGUCUUGGAGCUCAAAUAGAAACAUUGCAACCUGUUGCACGCCCUGCGACCCGCGGCAGCCUGAUCCUGCUCCGUGUGACAGAAGCAGCCGUUCAGUGGCUCCGGAGCCG